rnacentral:rRNA from 1 species
AACGAACGCUGGCGGCAUGCCUAACACAUGCAAGUCGAACGAGAUCUUCGGGUCUAGUGGCGCACGGGUGCGUAACGCGUGGGAAUCUGCCCUUUGGUUCGGAAUAACAGUUGGAAACGACUGCUGAUACCGGAUGAUGACGAAAGUCCAAAGAUUUAUCGCCAGAGGAUGAGCCCGCGUAGGAUUAGCUAGUUGGUGUGGUAAAGGCGCACCAAGGCGACGAUCCUUAGCUGGUCUGAGAGGAUGAUCAGCCACACUGGGACUGAGACACGGCCCAGACUCCUACGGGAGGCAGCAGUGGGGAAUAUUGGACAAUGGGCGAAAGCCUGAUCCAACAAUGCCGCGUGAGUGAUGAAGGCCUUAGGGUUGUAAAGCUCUUUUACCCGGGAUGAUAAUGACAGUACCGGGAGAAUAAGCUCCGGCUAACUCCGUGCCAGCCGCCGCGGUAA